UACGUAGGGUGCGAGCGUUAAUCGGAAUUACUGGGCGUAAAGCGUGCGCAGGCGGUUUUGUAAGCCAGAUGUGAAAUCCCCGGGCUCAACCUGGGAAUGGCAUUUGGGACUGCAAGGCUUGAGUGCGGCAGAGGAGACUGGAAUUCCUGGUGUAGCAGUGAAAUGCGCAGAUAUCAGGAAGAACACCCGUGGCUAAGGCGGUUCUCUAGUACGGUACUGACGCUGAGACGCGAAAGCGUGGGGAGCGAACAGG
rnacentral:rRNA from 1 species